UUAGCAUGAUGAUAAACUAUACAUCAGUUCUGCUUCUGAAAAUACAGGAAGAUAACCAACUUUACCAAAGCUCAAAAAUCUGAUAU
rnacentral:snoRNA from 1 species